GUUCGGACCUCCAAUCAGAUAAGAAUACCCGCUGAAUUAAGCAUAUAAACUAAGCGAAGGAAAAGAAACUAAACAAGGAUUUCCCUAGUAACGGCGAGUGAAGCGGAAAAAGCACAGGCUGAAAACCUUCGGGGAUGUGGUCUGAAGAACAUGCAUCCAUCGGAAGUACACGAAUCAAGUGGUCUGGAAAGGCCCGCCAUGGAGGGUGAUAGCCCCGUUCGUAUUUGUGUAUGGAAGGUAUGGAGUGUGUUCGAGGAGUCGAGUUGCUUGGGAUUGCAGCUCAAAUGGGUGGUAAAUUCCAUCUAAUGCUAAAUAUGGGUGGGAAACCAAUAGCGAACAAGUACCGUGAGGGAAAGAUGAAAAGCACUUUGAAAAGAGAGUGAAAUAGUACCUGAAAUUGCUGAAAAGGAACCGUUGGGAAGCAGUGUUGGACUAGGCAGUUCUGUCUGGUCUCUAGUUAGGCUUGCUUCUGCGUGUGAGAGAGUCUUCCUUGUACUUGUACUUGGUUUUGGCGUCAUGCGUGGGAACGACUCUGACGAAAUGCUUCUCAACAACCCGUCUUGAAACACGGACCAAGGAGUCUAACAUGUGUGCAAGUGCUCGGGAGUUGAUUCCCCAGCGCGAAAUUAACGUAAAGGCAAUUUUCGGAUUGCUUAGGUAGGAAGCCGCAAGGCUGCACUAUCGACCGACCAUGAUCCUACGAGAGAAAGGUUUGAGUGUGAGCAUACAUGUUGGGACCCGAAAGAUGGUGAACUAUGCCCGAGUAGAACGAAGCCAGGGGAAACUCUGGUGGAGGUUCGUAGCGGUUCUAACGUGCAGAUUGAUCGUC
rnacentral:rRNA from 1 species